CUGGGAACUGCGUUNUGAACUGGGUGACUAGAGUGUGUCAGAGGGAGGUAGAAUUCCACGUGUAGCAGUGAAAUGCGUAGAGAUGUGGAGGAAUACCGAUGGCGAAGGCAGCNUCCUGGGAUAACACUGACGUUCAUGCCCGAAAGCGUGGGUAGCAAACAGGAUUAGAUACCCUGGUAGUCCACGCCCUAAACGAUGUCGAUUAGCUGUUGGGCAGCAUGACUGCUUAGUAGCGAAGCUAACGCGUGAAAUCGACCGCCUGGGGAGUACGGUCGCAAGAUUAAAACUCAAAGGAAUUGACGGGGACCCGCACAAGCGGUGGAUGAUGUGGAUUAAUUCGAUGCAACGCGAAGAACCUUACCUGGUCUUGACAUGUACGGAACCCUCCAGAGACGGAGGGGUGCCUUCGGGAGCCGUAACACAGGUGCUGCAUGGCUGUCGUCAGCUCGUGUCGUGAGAUGUUGGGUUAAGUCCCGCAACGAGCGCAACCCUUGUCAUUAGUUGCCAUCAUUAAGUUGGGCACUCUAAUGAGACUGCCGGUGACAAGCCGGAGGAAGGUGGGGAUGACGUCAAGUCCUCAUGGCCCUUAUGACCAGGGCUUCACACGUCAUACAAUGGUCGGUACAGAGGGUAGCCAAGCCGCGAGGUGGAGCCAAUCUCACAAAACCGAUCGUAGUCCGGAUUGCACUCUGCAACUCGAGUGCAUGAAGUCGGAAUCGCUAGUAAUCGCAGGUCAGCAUACUGCGGUGAAUACGUUCCCGGGUCUUGUACACACCGCCCGUCACACCAUGGGAGUGGGGGAUACCAGAAGUAGG
rnacentral:rRNA from 1 species